AUGGACGCUGGCGGCGUGCUUCACACAUGCAAGUCGAACGGUGAAGGCGGAGCUUGCUCUGCUGGAUCAGUGGCGAACGGGUGAGUAACACGUGAGCAAUCUGCCCCUGACUCUGGGAUAAGCGCUGGAAACGGCGUCUAAUACUGGAUACGAGCUGCGAAGGCAUCUUCAGCAGCUGGAAAGAACUUCGGUCAGGGAUGAGCUCGCGGCCUAUCAGCUUGUUGGUGAGGUAACGGCUCACCAAGGCGUCGACGGGUAGCCGGUCUGAGAGGGUGACCGGCCACACUGGGACUGAGACACGGCCCAGACUCCUACGGGAGGCAGCAGUGGGGAAUAUUGCACAAUGGGCGAAAGCCUGAUGCAGCAACGCCGCGUGAGGGACGACGGCCUUCGGGUUGUAAACCUCUUUUAGCAGGGAAGAAGCGAAAGUGACGGUACCUGCAGAAAAAGCGCCGGCUAACUACGUG
rnacentral:rRNA from 1 species